CAAAAGGCUCUUUUCAGAGCCAAUUUUUUUUUUUAAAUUUUCU
rfam:Stegodyphus mimosarum contig59510, whole genome shotgun sequence.